AACGAACGCUUGCGGCAGGCCUAACACAUGCAAGUCGAGCGAGAACGGUUCUUCGGAACUUAUUAAAGCGGCGGACGGGUGAGUAACGCGUGGGAAACUGCCUUAUAGUGGGGGAUAACUAUUGGAAACGAUAGCUAAUACCGCAUACGCCCUACGGGGGAAGAUUUAUCGCUAUAAGAUGUGCCCGCGUUAGAUUAGUUAGUUGGUGAGGUAAUGGCUCACCAAGACUACGAUCUAUAGCUGGUUUGAGAGAAUGAUCAGCCACAUUGGGACUGAGACACGGCCCAGACUCCUACGGGAGCAGCAGUGGGGAAUAUUGCACAAUGGCGCAAGCCUGAUCCAGUCAUGCCACGUGAGUGAUGAAGGUCUUAGGAUUGUAAAACUCUUUUAGCAGGGAAAAAAUGAUGGUACCUGCAGAAAAAGUCUCGGCUAACUUCGUGCCAGCGCCGCGGUAAU
rnacentral:rRNA from 1 species